UUCAACACAGAAAUGGGGAUUGUAAUCUCAGCCAACUGUCUUGUGAGAUCAUAGUGUAAGCUCUCCAGACUGUCAACUCACACCUGGUUGAAUUAGAUCUGAGCUAAAAUGACUUACAGGGUUUGAUGAAGCUUUUUUCUUCUGGGAUCAAAAGUGAAAAUUGCAAACUGGAAAAGCUAAUCUAGGUGACUGCAGUCUUACCGGGAGCAGUUGUACUUACCUGAGCUCUGUCCUUGAGUCACCUCACUCCAAACUAAGACAGCUCAUUUUGGACAACAAUGACCUCCAGAAUACAGGGGUGGAAAUAUUUUCCUGUGCACUGAAAAAGCCAUCCUCCAACCUGGAAAAACUUGGGUUGUCAGGUUGUCGAGUCACAGAAGAGGGUUGUAGUUCACUUGUGAAUGCUCUAAAAACAAACACCACAACUCUUCAACACCUGGAUCUGAGUUACAAUCACCUAGGUGACACUGAGACACUCUCUGCUUUACAGAAAGAUUCCAAUAACAACUUGCAAACAGUAUGUUUCGAGUUUUGUGGCAAGAGAAGAGACAAACUGGAUGGUUAGAGUUACAGUAUACCAGUUCGCUUUGUAUUUUGUUAUGAGAUAAUCAUUUCCAUCUAUUGUUAUUCUAGAUGCUGUGCGCCUCAGUUUUGACCCAGAAGCCACUGACCACAGCAUCUCUCUGUCUGAUGGGGAUACCAAAGCCAUUCAAGGGCCUCACUCCCAGAAAAAAUACGGGACAGCACGCUGUAGGGCAGGACUGACCGAUCAAUGCUACUGGGAGACUGAGUUGACUGGAGAAGCCCAGUCAGAAAUCUCUGUGGGGCUAACGACUAAAGGCAAGGGGGCCACAGAGAAGUGCUGGAGUCUUAAGAACACUGCAAUUGGCGGUAGUUUCUAUGCACAGUAUUUCAGCAUCAUGGACCCCAUUAAGCGGAGGCCCAUCAAGAUCGAAAGUCUCCAGUUCAAGAGAUUAGGGGUAUUUCUGGACUGGUCUGCAGGUACCGUGUCUUUCUACACAGCUGAUCCUGUGGACGGUCCCCGGUCUCUUCUUUAUACUUUCCAUGCAACCUUCACAGAACCAUUGUAUCCUUUCUUCAAAAUCCAAGGAUCGCAGUCCUCCGUUUCCCUUUGUGAAAUGGAAUAACAAGCAAACUUGAAAUGCCUGAUAAGACUGUAUAUACUCUGAUUAAGUGUUUGACAUUAUUUCAUUGCUAUGUUAUGUAUACAUUCUUUUUGCUAUUCACUAAAACUAAGACUUGUAUUAGACCCACUAGACAAAAAUACAUAUAGUUUAACUGCCAUAAAUUUAUAUAUAUAUUUGUUUAUCAUUGGAGAUAUGAUUUGUAAUGUUUGUGAUAUUGUGCAUAUUAUUUUGGUUUAUUUUCAUGAAUGUUUUUGUCACACAUUAAGCUCAAUUAAGUGACAUAUUUCACAUGGACAGUUGUUAGUGUUGCAAAACUCACCUGUGAAAGUAGCAUGUGAGAUGCAUACGUGCGAGUUUCAAAGGAUCUGGUUUUAUCUGUGAAGUUACAUGCUCAAGUUCAGGGACAUUUUAAGCUUUUCGUAUGGACUCAUUGCCUCAUGGUUGUGUGCAGCCAGCAAGGUAUGUUUGCACUUUUAUGUCAUUGCAUGUAUGUGAUUCGGAAGAUAUUUGUGUGUGUGAUAUGAAUGAAUUUUUAUUGUGUUGUCUUGUGUUGUUAUUAACAGUUUGACGGUGGAUUAAAAGUAGAAGACAAUAAAUCCAUCAGUUACUGAA